UGAUAAUGAUGAGGGAAAUUUCUGAGCAUACUUUCAAAUCUCUCUCAAUCUUGGUAAAUAUUCUCUCCUUCUUUUGUCUGAAACUCAGAAUAUUGCUUCUCAAUCA
rfam:Capsicum annuum cultivar Zunla-1 chromosome 9, whole genome shotgun sequence